GGGGUAAAAUUAAAAAAUUAUAAUUAAUAAAAAAAAUUUUAAUAUUAAAAAUAAAUAAAUGGGGGUUUAAGUAUUUUUAAUAGAAAAAAUUAAUAUUUUUAUAGUUAAAUAUUACUGUAAAGGAAUGCAUAAAAUAAUUGAAAGAAAAAUUAAUUAAAAAGUAAAUUUAAUUUAUUGUAUCUUGUGUAUCAGAGUUUAUCAAAUAAUAAUAAUUUAGUUAAAUAAAUCUCGAAUUUAAAAGAGUUAAUUAAUUAAAAAAUUUAAUGUUGUAUAAUUAUUUUUAAUAGUUAAUUAGAAAUGAAAUGUUAAUCGUUUUUAAAUAUAUCUAGUUUUUUUAGAAAAAAAUUUAAUUUAAAAUUAAAAUAAUUUUAUAAUUAUUUAAUUAAUUAUGAAAAUUUGAAAUUUAAUAUUUUAGGGGAUAAGCUUUAAAUUAAAAAUUUAUAAUUAAAUUAAUUGUAAAUUAAAAUUUUUAAUAUUUAUAUUGUUUAAAAAUUAUAAUUUAUUAUAAAAAAUUUUAAUAAAAAAUAAAAUUUAAAAUAAAAUUUAAAUUUUUAUAAAAAAAUAAUUUGUAAUUAAAUAAAAUUAGUAAUAAUGAUAUAUAUAUAUAUAUAUAUAUAUAAUUCAAAUAAAAAUUUAUUAAAAAGUAAAUUAAAGGAAUUCGGCAAAAAUUUAUGUUCACUUGUUUAUCAAAAACAUGUCUUUUUGAUUUUAAUUUAAAGUCUAAUCUGCCCACUGAUAUUAUAAAUUAAAGGGCUGCAGUAUAUUGACUGUACAAAGGUAGCAUAAUCAUUAGUCUUUUAAUUGAAGACUUGUAUGAAAGAUUUGAUGAGAUAUAAACUGUCUCUAUUUUAAAAUUAGAAAUUAAUUUUUUAGUAAAAAAGCUAAAAUAAGAUUAAAAGACGAGAAGACCCUAUAGAGUUUUAUAUUUUAUUUUUUUUUUUUUAUAAAAAUAUAUAAUUAAUUAGGAAAUAAAAUAAAGUAUUUUAUUGGGGUGAUAGAAAAAUUUAAUAAACUUUUUUUAUUUUUUAACAUAAAUAAGUGAAUUAUUGAUCCAUUAUUAAUGAUUAAAAGAAAAAAUUACCUUAGGGAUAACAGCGUAAUAUUUUUUUUUAGUACGAAUAAAAAAAAAAGUUUGCGACCUCGAUGUUGGAUUAAGAUAAAAUUUAAAUGCAGAAGUUUAAAAUUUUGAUCUGUUCGAUCAUUAAAAUCUUACAUGAUCUGAGUUCAAACCGGUGUGAGCCAGGUUGGUUUCUAUCUUUAAUAAAUAAAAAUAUUUUAGUACGAAAGGAUUAAAUAUUUAAAAUAAUUUUAUUUAUUUGAAUAUUAUUAAAUAUGAAUUUA
rnacentral:rRNA from 1 species